rnacentral:rRNA from 1 species
CGCACGGGUGAGUAACGCGUAUCCAACCUUCCGUACACUCAGGGAUAGCCUUUCGAAAGAAAGAUUAAUACCUGAUGGUAUGAUGAGAUUGCAUGAUAGCAUCAUUAAAGAUUUAUCGGUGUACGAUGGGGAUGCGUUCCAUUAGGUAGUAGGCGGGGUAACGGCCCACCUAGCCAACGAUGGAUAGGGGUUCUGAGAGGAAGGUCCCCCACAUUGGAACUGAGACACGGUCCAAACUCCUACGGGAGGCAGCAGUGAGGAAUAUUGGUCAAUGGACGAGAGUCUGAACCAGCCAAGUAGCGUGAAGGAUGAAGGUCCUACGGAUUGUAAACUUCUUUUAUAAGGGAAUAAACCCUCCCACGUGUGGGAGCUUGUAUGUACCUUAUGAAUAAGCAUCGGCUAACUCCGUGCCAGCAGCCGCGGUAAUACGGAGGAUGCGAGCGUUAUCCGGAUUUAUUGGGUUUAAAGGGAGCGCAGACGGGUCGUUAAGUCGGCUGUGAAAGUUUGGGGCUCAACCUUAAAAUUGCAGUUGAUACUGGCGUCCUUGAGUGCGGUUGAGGUGUGCGGAAUUCGUGGUGUAGCGGUGAAAUGCUUAGAUAUCACGAAGAACUCCGAUUGCGAAGGCAGCACACUAAUCC